rnacentral:rRNA from 1 species
GUGGGGAAUCUUGCGCAAUGGGCGAAAGCCUGACGCAGCCAUGCCGCGUGAAUGAUGAAGGUCUUAGGAUUGUAAAAUUCUUUCGCCGGGGACGAUAAUGACGGUACCCGGAGAAGAAGCCCCGGCUAACUUCGUGCCAGCAGCCGCGGUAAUACGAAGGGGGCUAGCGUUGCUCGGAAUUACUGGGCGUAAAGGGCGCGUAGGCGGACAGUUUAGUCAGAGGUGAAAGCCCAGGGCUCAACCUUGGAAUUGCCUUUGAUACUGGCUGUCUUGAGUACGGGAGAGGUGAGUGGAACUCCGAGUGUAGAGGUGAAAUUCGUAGAUAUUCGGAAGAACACCAGUGGCGAAGGCGACUCACUGGCCCGUUACUGACGCUGAGGCGCGAAAGCGUGGGGAGCAAACAGGAUUAGAAACCCCUGUAGUCC